GACAGAGGUGCCGAGCGUUAGGCGGAAUCACUGGGCUUAAAGCGUGUGUAGGCGGAUUGGUAAGUACCUUGUGAAAUCCCACGGCUUAACCGUGGAACUGCUUGGUAUACUGCUUAUCUUGGGCCACUUAGGGGCUACCGGAACAAACGGUGGAGCGGUGAAAUGCGUAGAUAUCGAGAGGAACACCUGCGGCGAAGGCGGGUUGCUGGGCUGACACUGACGCUGAUGCGCGAAAGCCAGGGGAGCGAACGGG
rnacentral:rRNA from 1 species